CCGCUAACUUUCCACCUUAUCCCCCCCCCCUUUUCCACCCCGACGCCCUCCCCUCACCUUGCGGGCUCCCCUUUUUGGGGACCAGCUCCUCCUUUCUGCUUCGAGCAUCCCGGGGCCCGAAGCGGGGCGCGUUUCCCACGGCCCCCCCCCAGUGCUCGGGGCGCGGGGGCGGCGCGGGGGGAGCCUCGGGCCGCGGGGGGGCGCUGCGGCUCGGCUCGGCUCGGCUCGGAGGCUGCGCCCCCCGCCGCUAUAUAAAGGAGGCCGGCGGCGGCCCCCGCUCCGUCCUGCCGGCAGGAGGAGGAGGAGGAGGUAGAAAAGGAGGCAGGUUUCCACCCUGGGACUGUCUUCUAGGGUAAACUAUCACCAAUGGAAGUAACAUUUGUUUUUCCAGCAUUCUGGGUUGGCUGGAUUAACUGGCUGUCAUUCAGAGGGAACUUGGCAGAUCUAUUUUGCUUUCGUUGAACCUCUCUACUGCAUGUCGUGAAGAUUUCCUGGGUCCAGACGCUGCACUAAAGACAACUGAGCAACACAAAAAUGUGACUUUGACAAGAGACUCCAAGCUUUCUGACACGGAAUUUUUUACUGAUCGGUUUAUAAUUUAAACCUAUAACUGAAGCAUGCCUAAUAAUUAGUUAACCUGUUAGGGGGAAGAGGCUUUCUCUGUAUUUGGGACUGCCAGAAAAAGCAGUCACUUGAAGUUUCAAAAUGAGUGCUCCAUU
rnacentral:lncRNA from 1 species